rnacentral:lncRNA from 1 species
AGAGACAGAGGUACAGAGGGAGAAGACCGGCCAUGGGACGAUGGAGGCAGAGAUUGGAGCGAUGCAGCUGCAAGCCAAGGAAGGCCAGCGAUCGACCACCACUACUAGAAGCUGGAAGAGAGACAAAUGAAUGGACCUUGCGUUAGUCUCCCGUACUCCUCAGGAAGGACGCUUGAGUUAAUUUCAGAGUUUGAUUUGAGAGCCCCAGCCAAUGAACCUAAGAUAGGUAGAGAGGAAAACAAUUUUUUUCCUCCCCUACAAAGCCUGCACAAGCCACUUGGUUCUUCCGUCUCUCCCCUCUGUCUUGCAAUCAGACUGCCAG